rnacentral:rRNA from 1 species
AAGGAUCAUUAUUGAAUUACGGGCGAGGGUUGUCGCUGGCCUCUCGGGGCAUGUGCACGCCCGAGCCAUCCCCAACAAACGCCGUGGGCCUUCGGGCCCGCGUAUAUUUACUCUGAAUGUGUAUAGAAUGUAAACCAUUUGUUUGCCCUGAAAAAGCAAACGAAAAAUAGUACAACUUUCAACAACGGAUCUCUUGGCUCUCGCAUCGAUGAAGAACGCAGCGAAAUGCGAUAAGUAAUGUGAAUUGCAGAUUUUCAGUGAAUCAUCGAAUCUUUGAACGCACCUUGCGCCCCUUGGUAUUCCGAGGGGCAUGCCUGUUUGAGUGUCAUUAAAUCCUCAACCGCGCCGAUUGAUUUUCGGUGGGGCUUGGACUUUGGAGCGUGCUGGCGAAGGUCGGCUCCUCUUUAAAUGCAUCAGCGGAAGAAACCUUUGUCUUUCCCGCCUUCGGUGUGAUAAUUGUGUUGCGCCGUGGUGGAACUUCAACGAUCCGCUUACAAUGGUCUUCGGACGAAACCUCAUGUCAUCUUGACCUCAAAUCAGGUAGGACUACCCGCUGAACUUAA